AACGAACGCUGGCGGUGCGUCUUAAGCAUGCAAGUCGAACGGCAAGAAGGUGCUUGCAUCUUCCUAGAGUGGCGGACUGGUGAGUAACGCGUGGGUGAUCUACCUUUAAGAUGGGGAUAGCUCUUAGAAAUAAGAGAUAAUACCGAAUGUGCUGUUAGGUUGUGAUCUAGCAAGGAAAGAGGCGUUGCCUCGCUUAAAGAUGAGCCUGCGUCCCAUUAGCUAGUUGGUGAGGUAAAGGCCCACCAAGGCGAUGAUGGGUAUCCGGCCUGAGAGGGUGAACGGACACAUUGGGACUGAGAUACGGCCCAAACUCCUACGGGAGGCAGCAGCUGAGAAUCUUCCGCACUGGACGAAAGUCUGACGGAGCGACACCGCGUGAAUGAUGAAGCCCGAAAGGUUGUAAAGUUCUUUUGCAGACAAAGAAUAAGUUAGUAGGAAAUGACUGUAACGAUGAC
rnacentral:rRNA from 1 species